rfam:Octopus bimaculoides Scaffold34469_contig_14, whole genome shotgun sequence.
UCAAAAGCUCUUUUCAGAGCUAUUUCAUUUUGAAUUGAUAUUAUCU